rnacentral:rRNA from 1 species
UGAGUAAUGUCUGGGAAACUGCCUGAUGGAGGGGGAUAACUACUGGAAACGGUAGCUAAUACCGCAUAACGUCGCAAGACCAAAGAGGGGGACCUUCGGGCCUCUUGCCAUCAGAUGUGCCCAGAUGGGAUUAGCUAGUAGGUGGGGUAAUGGCUCACCUAGGCGACGAUCCCUAGCUGGUCUGAGAGGAUGACCAGCCACACUGGAACUGAGACACGGUCCAGACUCCUACGGGAGGCAGCAGUGGGGAAUAUUGCACAAUGGGCGCAAGCCUGAUGCAGCCAUGCCGCGUGUGUGAAGAAGGCCUUCGGGUUGUAAAGCACUUUCAGCGAGGAGGAAGGUGGUGAGCUUAAUACGCUCAUCAAUUGACGUUACUCGCAGAAGAAGCACCGGCUAACUCCGUGCCAGCAGCCGCGGUAAUACGGAGGGUGCAAGCGUUAAUCGGAAUUACUGGGCGUGAAGCGCACGCAGGCGGUUUGUUAAGUCAGAUGUGAAAUCCCCGGG